UUGACCAAUCUCGAAACUACUGAGCAUCGAUCAACGUUAUACCAUCAAGGACCCAAAAGAGUUUCCCUCCAACCAGGAGGCCAAUCACAGCGCGACACGUGUCGACAUCAGAAGUCAAUCAUAGCGCGACACGUGUCAAUGUCAGAAUGAAACUAGAAACUCCCUUUUAUAAAUAGAGAUCAUUCUCUCACAAUAUUUCCUAAUGUCAUUUGUACUAAAUCAUUCACUAGUACUCAUAAAAGGAGAGCUUGAACCUAUGUACUUGUGUAAACCCUUCACAAUUAAUGAGAACUCCUCUACUCUGUGGAUGUAGCCAAUCUGGGUGAACCACGUACAUCUUGUGUUUGCUUCUCUGUCUCUAUCCAUUAGCAUACUUAUCCACACUAGUGACCAGAGCAAUCUAGCGAAGGUCACAAACUUGACACUUUCUGUUGUACCAAAGUCCCCACUGAUUUUGUGCAUCAACAUAAACUUAGCAUAUACAUUCCUGCAACACAACUUUAACAUAUGUUAUCACAAUCAUAGGUACAACAUAUCCCAAUAGUAUUGAUAAAUUAUAGAAUAUGACUAAUUCUGUCUCCUACAAUCAGUAAGAUGUCAUGACAUGGUUGGAUUUUAUGGGAACAAAUAACACUUCAUGACUCCAACAUAACCGUUCCUUAUAUAAUUUAUCGUGAAGACCAAAAGGAAAGAUCAUACCAGAAUUUCAUAUACCGAUGUAAUACGAACCUCUUCAUUGGGCUUGUUCGACUGAGGGAUCUUAAGAAAUUCUCCAAUGCAAGGUUAGAAAAAAUGUAAAUACAUACACAUGCUAUGCGAACUGUAGAUACAUAAUUGGCUUAAGAAAAUUAUGUAUACUUGCUUGAACAAACAAUUGCUGGCACUUAUGCAAUUGUUUCUUGUCACAUUAACGUAUCACCCGUAGCAAUUCAUAUAGAAUACAAUUCAUGGAAAAUAAUAUUAGUUCUUAUUCAAUAAGCAUAUGCCCAUUUAGAUACGUAUUGCCACAAUAUAUAAAAAUUGGAUCCAUAUUCAUGACAUACUUAACCGAUAUAUCAAUGUAUGUACAUGCUCUAGAAUAAUUAGCACAUCACUCAUGCAAUUAUAUCUUUAUCUUAUUAGCAAUUUAAGCUUUUAGGGAUCAACCCAAAUAUAUAUCAACCAAAAUACCAUAAACCAUAAUGGAAAUCAAAGUCAAUGAAACAAACCAUUUUGCUUUGGUAGAUGACUUCGUUAUGCUUGCUAAUUGGAGGGACCUCUUCAGUAAGGUCAGAACAAAUAUAGCAUGCUUACAAAAUUGAGAUCAUCAGUGUGCACAUGGUAAAUCAAUUCAACCAAAACACUAGCAUGAAGAUUGAAAUAGAACAAAACUGUUAUUCUUCUCAGUGCCAUGGUUUCCACUGUAAAAUACAUAAUAUAAAACCACGCCUUACAUAUUCUUUACGUUCCUAUAUGAUUAUAGGAUUCCAAUUCCUAUAUGGUUUUUAAAUUUCAUGCUUAAUCAAAAAUGCCUCUAAGCGUAGUCCAAUUUCCAAUUGGCAAGCAAAGCUAUGUGGUUAUAUGUAAUACACCACAUACAAUAUUAUGGAUUCGUGCUAUAAUCAGGCAACUUGUCUUGCUGAUAAUAAUCAGGGUAUCAAUUAGCAUAGUUCUUAAUAAAUUUCCCUUGACUGCAACCAUAAUAUUAGCGAAAAAUAUUCUUGAUUAAAACUGAAUAAUUAUGCAACCUGAUCAUAAUCAACAAUUGAACUGAUUCAAAUAGCAUGGUGAUGUUGCCGAGUAUAUGCAAUGACAAUUUGGAUUAAACACGCAGUUCAAGAGAAUAUUAUAUAAUCCAACAUUAAACCUAAUAGGUUUUUAAUUAUAUAACCAGUGGCUCUGAUACCAAUUGUUAGCCUUAUAAGGUUAUACAAUUAAAACACAAACGAAUGAGUAACUAACCUGAUUCCAACGGCGGCCAUGGAAAUUGAACACAAAAGUAGUAAGGCACGGCAACACCAGGAUCUUCUUUAAACUCCUAGCCAGAUACAACUACUCUAUGAGAAGCAUUAUGUUGUGUUCUAGGGCUUAUAGGGACUCGUGUUUUAUAUGGGCUAAAAGCUAGGGUUUCCAUCCAUAAAGGAAACCUAAACUUUACUUUCUUAGCCUCCAAGUCAAGUAUCAUAAUCAUAUUCAAUUAAGGAUUCCAUCAAUCCUAUUUCCAAUAUAAGACGUCUUAUAUAGGAUUGAUAUCUUUAAGAGAUCAAAUCACAAUCAACAUUAUUCUCCAAUAUUACAUUCUUAUUACAUGUAGUAGACCACUUAAAGGUCGAUUUAUAUUGGAUAAAUCCAACACACCACCCAUCGUGGUAGUAGUUAUGUCACGAUGAAGAGAGUUUGCAACCAACUCAUCCUCUUGAUUCUGUGCGUUAGUGAUUUCCCUUUAGGUGUUUCAUAUUGUAAGUCCAUUAAUAAUAUAUCCAUUAAGUUUUCUCAAUAUAUAAAUGACAUGGUUUUGUUACAACUCACAUUAUCGGAAAAACCUGACAUCAAAUGGCUCAAAUGGCAAAGAAAGGUCACACAAGAAAUGGCGAUUGGCACCUAGUGAACGUGUAGCUUUAUGCUUUGGUUAGUUGUCUAUUAUGGAGUACAACUUUGAGUAUGUAAAUCCGGAUAUAGCGCCACUCUUAAAGGCCAGAUGGACGAGAUAAAGAAAUAAAGAUGCCUUAUUUGAAGGUAUGUAACUAUUCAUGAAUCAUGAAAAGUUGCAACUCUUCAUUGUUUAGAGAAAUACAUAUUUCGACCAAAAGACACCACUUUUAAUUUUCAUUCAACAAAUUUAAUAUUAUAAUAAUAAAAUUAAAUUGCCAACAAAUCAUUGGUCAAGAAUACAACGAACUCAAACAUUAUUUUCUAUUCCAAAUUCUAACUUCCAAGUCUCAUUACUUCACACCACUAACUCUAAUAUUUUAUUAUAUUUAUAUGACAUAAAAUUAAUCUUUAACAUUUCAUUAAAAAAAAAACCUUAACAUUAAACCUUCACUUUUUGUUUUUAGAACAAACGAUUUCAUUUACACUAAGAGAGUGAGAAAGUGGGGUAAGCCUCACAAUAGACUAGCAAUAAUGUGAUUCAAAUUCGCUUUCGGUCUCACUUACAAGUAAAGAACAAUAUCAUUAGAACGUAGUACUAAGUGACAUUAAACCUUCACUUUUAAAUGCGUGAGUAAUGCAAAGUCAAAUGAAACGUCUAUGAGAUGUCAUCAGGGAUAUAAUCAACCCAAGGUGGGUGCCUUGUCAAAACCUCAUUACGUAGCAAAAACCCAAUGGGAAAAAUGCUCCUAAUCGUAGGGAAAAAGAGUAUAUUAAGAUCAAGCAAGUAUACUUCAGGAUACUCCCCUGAGUUUGACACAAUUCCAAAGAGAACUAACAAUGUUACAACUCAGAAAGUUUAUGCAUACCAAUUCCUUGAACAAGAUUCUGAAACGUCGCCUUUUGUAGUGAUUUGGUGAAG
rnacentral:lncRNA from 1 species